ACACCUCUCUCAUUUUCCUCCUACAUCCUCUCUAACCUUAUCUAGAUCUCAAAAAAAAAAAAAAAAACACAGACAUUAUGUCUGUCAUUCUCUCUCUCGAUCUAUACAUAUACAAAGAACACACAUAUACAAAUUACCAAAUACCCUCUCGAUCUUCACAUCUCCAGCCGAGUGGAGGAGCUCCGGCGCAGCUCCGACCAUCUCUGGUCACCCACACACCCCACGACACCUCAGAUACCCCCGGUCACCGAUGUAAUCCCGGUGAAAGUAAACAGAACCGCCGCACGCGGCGGUAGCGCGACGGCGGAACAGAAGAGAGAGAGAAACAAGAUGGGAGAGAGAGAGAUAACCGGUUGUGGUGGUGAGCGACGGCGGCGGCAGAGGCGGUCGGCGUCUCGGACCACUGGUAUGUGUCUCGGACCGGUGGUUCGUGUCUCGGUCCGGCAAUAGGUGUCUCGAUCCGGUGGUUCGGUUGAUAAUGAUGAUGUCAAGGGUAAUGGUGACUGAUGAAAGAUAAUGUUGCUGAUGUUCGAUUCAGUUUUUAGAAGUCUCAGGUUCGGUUUGGUCAGGCGGUUCGGUUGACUCAGUCAGCGAGUCAACUCAGUCAAGCUACAGGUCAACAGUCAGUUCUGGUCAGGAUACGGUUCGGUCAACAGCUUUGGUUCGGCUUUGGUUUGCGGUCAGACGGCUCGGUUCAGUUGACUCGGUCAAACCCAUUCAACUCGGUCAAACCUGGUCAACACAGCGAGUCGGCUCGGUCAACUCAGUCAACCCAUUUAGCGUUUCAACACGAAAUUUUGGUAAAGUCUAUUGGCACGAUGAAUAAUUUCGUUAUUCUAUAUAGUUCUAGUUACUUUCGUGAAAACGAGCUCGAACCGAACAAAAUAACGAAAUGAUAGUUAAAAUAUACUUUAAUUUA